rnacentral:rRNA from 1 species
AAAUUCGAGAGCUUAAAGCAGGCUCAUUUGCCUGAAUAUUGUGUGCAUAGAAUAAUGGAAUAGGACCUCGGUUCUAUUUUACUGGUUUUCGGAAUUCCUAGGUUAUGAUUAAUAGGGACAACUGGGGAUUCAUUCAACUGGGGGGCAUUCGUAGUGCGACGUUAGAGGUGAAAUUUUUGGAUCGUCGCAAGACGGACAGAAGCGAAAGCAUUUGCCAAAUGUGUUUUCAUCAAUCAAGAACGAAAGGUAGAGGUUUGAAGGCGAUCAGAUACCGCCCUACUUCUAACCAUAAACAAUACCAGCUAGCGAUCCGCCGAAGUUCCUCCUAUGACUCGGCGGGAAGCAAACGGGAAACCAAAGCUUUUGGGAUCCGGUGGAAGUAUGGUUGCAAAGCUGAAACUUAAAAGAAUUGAUGCAAGGGCACCACUAGGAGUGGAGCCUGCGGCUUAAUUUGACUCAACACGGGAAACCUCACCAGGCCCGGACACCGGAAGGAUUGACA